rnacentral:rRNA from 1 species
CUGGCGGCGUGCCUAACACAUGCAAGUCGAACGAGAAAGUGGAGCAAUCCAUGAGUAAAGUGGCGACCGGGUGAGUAACACGUGACUAACCUACCUCCGAGUGGGGAAUAACUCCGGGAAACCGGGGCUAAUACCGCAUAACAUCGCAAGAUCAAAGCAGCAAUGCGCUUGGAGAGGGGGUCGCGGCUGAUUAGCUUGUUGGCGGGGUAACGGCCCACCAAGGCGAAGAUCGGUAUCCGGCCUGAGAGGGCGCACGGACACACUGGAACUGAAACACGGUCCAGACUCCUACGGGAGGCAGCAGUGGGGAAUUUUGCGCAAUGGGGGAAACCCUGACGCAGCAACGCCGCGUGGAGGAUGAAGCCCUUUGGGGCGUAAACUCCUUUCGACUCGGAAGAUAAUGACGGUACGAGUGGAAGAAGCACCGGCUAACUCUGUGCCAGCAGCCGCGGUAAUACAGAGGGUGCGAGCGUUGUUCGGAAUUAUUGGGCGUAAAGGGCGCGUANGCGGUGCGGUAAGUCACCUGUGAAAUCUCCUGGCUUAACUGGGAGUCUG